rnacentral:rRNA from 1 species
GACGAACGCUGGCGGCGUGCUUAACACAUGCAAGUCGAACGGAAAGGCCCUGCUUUUGUUGCUCGCUCGAUUGCCGAGCGCGUGAGACACACGUGAGUAACCUUCCCUUUACUUUUGGCUAACUUCACGAGACUCUGGCUCCUACCGGAUAUGAUCUCCUGAUGCAUGGUGUUGGAUAGCAAGUUUCGGCGGUUGUGGAUGGACUCGCGGCUUAUCAGCUGGUUGGUGGGGUAGUUGCUUACCAAGUCUUUGACGGGUAGCCGGCCUGAGAGGGGGACCGGCAACAUUGGGACUGAGAUACGGCCCAGAAGCCUACGGGAGGCAGCAGUGGGGAAUAUUGCAAAAUGGGCGGAAGCCUGAUGCAGCAACGCCGGGUGCGGGAUGACGGCCUUCGGGGUGUAAACCGCUUUCGCCGGUGACGAAGCGUGAGUGACGGUAAUGGGUAAAGAAGCAACGGCUAACUACGUG